CUUAGCUCUGUUAAAAAAAUUUCUUUGAUCUCCACAGAUCGCCCAUUUUGUCAUAUAUUACUGCUAAAUUGCAAAACCCUGGUUCUUGUCCUUUAAUCCAGGUAUAGUAUAUUUUACUUCAGUUUCUGUUUUGUCAAAGCCUCAGGCAGCCUUCACUUUACAUUUGUCACUCUAUAUCGAAUCACUCGUUCAGAACCCCAGGAACUCACGCUGCGCUCAUACGUCACGCUCACUCAGAUCUACAUCUGUCUCAAACCCUUAGGUUUCUUCUACGAUAUCACCAACCGCUUUGCCUCUUCUAAAUUGCAAAACCCUGGUUCUUGUCCUUUAAUCCAGGUAUAGUAUUUCUUUUACUUAAGUUUCUGUUUUGUCAAAGCCUCAGGCAGCCUUCACUUUACAUUUGUCACUCUAUAUCGAAUCACUCGUUCAGAACCCCAGGAACUCACGCUGCGCUCAUACGUCACGCUCACUCAGAUCUACAUCUGUCUCAAACCCUUAGGUUUCUUCUACGAUAUCACCAACCGCUUUGCCUCUUCUAAAUUGCAAAAACCCUGGUUCUUGUCCUUUAAUCCAGGUAUAGUAUUUAUUUCACUUCAGUUUCUGUUUUUUCAAUGCAUCAGGCAGCCUUUACUUUACACUUGUCACUCUGUCUCGUAUCACUCGUUCAGACCCCCAGGAACUCAUGUUGCGGUCAUACGCCACACUCACACAGAUCUACAUCUGUCUCAAACCCCUUAGGCUUCUUCUACGAUAUCACCAACCGCUGUGCCUCUCUUCCAAAAAAUACUCAAAGGUUCAAGUUCCCGGGUGUAACCACUAUCAAGGUUAGUAUCCACCCAUUACAUAAUUUUCCAAUUUAUCCCAUCGAUGAUACGUGAACUGGCUCACAGGGCUCCAGACCUAGCUCACCGAGGCAUUUACAGGCCCCACAAAGCCAUCUCCCACCUCAACACGGAGGUACGGCCCCACGUCCAAAUCAUAGUUAAACACCUCAUUCGCUCUUCUACAGAGCCGCAGUCAGGGCCUCACUUUCCACGGCCACACAUUUUGAAUCUUUUAAAUGUCUUCGAGAGGCCAACAUCCCGCCACCACAUCUGUGGCAACGUACUUACCUCGGCCAAAUCAUAGAUAGAGCCUCUCACCGCCACUUGGCACUAGUAGGGCCUCAUCUGGCACUAGUCAAAGUUACGUUUUUCGCUUCGGCAAUAGCCUUACAGUCCAG